GAUGAACGCUGGCGGCGUGCCUAAUACAUGCAAGUCGAGCGAACAGACGAGGAUCUUGCUCCUCUGACGUUAGCGGCGGACGGGUGAGUAACACGUGGAUAACCUACCUAUAAGACUGGGAUAACUUCGGGAAACCGGAGCUAAUACCGGAUAAUAUAUUGAACCGCAUGGUUCAAUAGUGAAAGACGGUUUUGCUGUCACUUAUAGAUGGAUCCGCGCCGCAUUAGCUAGUUGGUAAGGUAACGGCUUACCAAGGCAACGAUGCGUAGCCGACCUGAGAGGGUGAUCGGCCACACUGGAACUGAGACACGGUCCAGACUCCUACGGGAGGCAGCAGUAGGGAAUCUUCCGCAAUGGGCGAAAGCCUGACGGAGCAACGCCGCGUGAGUGAUGAAGGUCUUCGGAUCGUAAAACUCUGUUAGUAGGGAAGAACAAAUGUGUAAGUAACUAUGCACGUCUUGACGGUACCUAAUCAGAAAGCCACGGCUAACUACGUG
rnacentral:rRNA from 1 species